rnacentral:rRNA from 1 species
UACGUAGGGUCCGAGCGUUGUCCGGAAUUAUUGGGCGUAAAGAGCUCGUAGGCGGUUUGUUGCGUCGGCUGUGAAAUCCCGAGGCUCAACCUCGGGCCUGCAGUGGGUACGGGCAGACUAGAGUGUGGUAGGGGAGACUGGAAUUCCUGGUGUAGGCGGUGGAAUGCGCAGAUAUCAGGAGGAACACCGGUGGCGAAGGCGGCUAUCUGGCCAUAUAUUGACGCUGAGAUACGAAAGCGUGGGGAGCAAACAGG